rnacentral:rRNA from 1 species
AAAUUGAAGAGUUUGAUCAUGGCUCAGAUUGAACGCUGGCGGCAGGCCUAACACAUGCAAGUCGAACGGUAACAGGAAGCAGCUUGCUGCUUUGCUGACGAGUGGCGGACGGGUGAGUAAUGUCUGGGAAACUGCCUGAUGGAGGGGGAUAACUACUGGAAACGGUGGCUAAUACCGCAUAACGUCGCAAGACCAAAGAGGGGGACCUUCGGGCCUCUUGCCAUCAGAUGUGCCCAGAUGGGAUUAGCUUGUUGGUGAGGUAACGGCUCACCAAGGCGACGAUCCCUAGCUGGUCUGAGAGGAUGACCAGCCACACUGGAACUGAGACACGGUCCAGACUCCUACGGGAGGCAGCAGUGGGGAAUAUUGCACAAUGGGCGCAAGCCUGAUGCAGCCAUGCCGCGUGUAUGAAGAAGGCCUUCGGGUUGUAAAGUACUUUCAGCGGGGAGGAAGGUGUUGUGGUUAAUAACCACAGCAAUUGACGUUACCCGCAGAAGAAGCACCGGCUAACUCCGUGCCAGCAGCCGCGGUAAUACGGAGGGUGCAAGCGUUAAUCGGAAUUACUGGGCGUAAAGCGCACGCAGGCGGUCUGUCAAGUCGGAUGUGAAAUCCCCGGGCUCAACCUGGGAACUGCAUUCGAAACUGGCAGGCUUGAGUCUUGUAGAGGGGGGUAGAAUUCCAGGUGUAGCGGUGAAAUGCGUAGAGAUCUGGAGGAAUACCGGUGGCGAAGGCGGCCCCCUGGACAAAGACUGACGCUCAGGUGCGAAAGCGUGGGGAGCAAACAGGAUUAGAUACCCUGGUAGUCCACGCCGUAAACGAUGUCUACUUGGAGGUUGUGCCCUUGAGGCGUGGCUUCCGGAGCUAACGCGUUAAGUAGACCGCCUGGGGAGUACGGCCGCAAGGUUAAAACUCAAAUGAAUUGACGGGGGCCCGCACAAGCGGUGGAGCAUGUGGUUUAAUUCGAUGCAACGCGAAGAACCUUACCUGGUCUUGACAUCCACGGAAGAAUUCAGAGAUGGAUUUGUGCCUUCGGGAACCGUGAGACAGGUGCUGCAUGGCUGUCGUCAGCUCGUGUUGUGAAAUGUUGGGUUAAGUCCCGCAACGAGCGCAACCCUUAUCCUUUGUUGCCAGCGGUUAGGCCGGGAACUCAAAGGAGACUGCCAGUGAUAAACUGGAGGAAGGUGGGGAUGACGUCAAGUCAUCAUGGCCCUUACGACCAGGGCUACACACGUGCUACAAUGGCGCAUACAAAGAGAAGCGACCUCGCGAGAGCAAGCGGACCUCAUAAAGUGCGUCGUAGUCCGGAUUGGAGUCUGCAACUCGACUCCAUGAAGUCGGAAUCGCUAGUAAUCGUGGAUCAGAAUGCCACGGUGAAUACGUUCCCGGGCCUUGUACACACCGCCCGUCACACCAUGGGAGUGGGUUGCAAAAGAAGUAGGUAGCUUAACCUUCGGGAGGGCGCUUACCACUUUGUGAUUCAUGACUGGGGUGAAGUCGUAACAAGGUAACCGUAGGGGAACCUGCGGUUGGAUCACCUCCUUACCU